rnacentral:lncRNA from 1 species
CUUUUUUUAUAGUGAAGCUUUUGUAUUGUUUCUGGUUGUAGAUAUAGAUCAAUAGACCGAACAAUAUAAAUCUUGUGUACUUUUGUUCUUUUCUCUCUUUCUCCUUCUUGUUUCAUUUUUAUUCUCCAUGCUUGUUAUGACAAAACAACAAUUUGCUACAUAGAGUUCUUCUAAGUAGUUUCUAAGAUGUAGGAGGAAAAUAAAAUUUGGGCCAAAAUAAAAGGUAGGUAAUUGCACUCAUUAAUUGAUUGAAUGUAUAAUGUAUGAUAUACUUAGUAAUUCCAUGAUAAUGGGAACAAAUGAAGGGGGAGGAGGGGGAG